AUAUCUAGAUAAGAGCUUCACUCUUAAUCUUAAUUAUCCGCUUCUGUCUCUCGUAAUUUUUUGAUAAAACGUUCCUUUUUAUCGAAUUGAUCUUUUGAUUCUUGUAAAGAGCCUGAGCUCUCAGCGAGAACACUUUCUGGCCAGGAGCCUCGGCCUGGUUGGAACUCUCUCUCAUUUCUGGACUCUGGACUUACCAUUUUUGGAACAUGGAACCCCGGACAACUUUGGGCCUGAGCUCUCAGCGAGAACACUUUCUGGCCAGGAGCCUCGGCCUGGUUGGAACUCUCUCUCAUUUCUGGACUCUGGACUUACCAUUUUUGGAACAUGGAACCCCGGACAACUUUGGUGACUCGUCAAAAGACUUUUCUUUCUCUCUCUGAAAUCUUUUUCAUUUUUAGACCAUUUUAACAUUUUAAUUUCGCUAAUAUUUUCAAUGUUUUAUCUUUUUCAAAA